CGAGGCAUGUUUCGUCCAACAUGCGCGAGCUAACUGCGCACGCAGUGCCUUUUGAAUUCCCGCUGAGUCACGUGCCAGAGUACUUUGGUCGCAGAAACGCGUUCCGUUUUAUGUCUGCCUGAAAUAGUACGCAGUGACAGCGACGUGCCUGAACCAAUCAAAAACAAUCUGAUUAAAUGCCACAAAAAAAGGAACUUUCGUUAAAGAUGCUACUCUUGGUCACGACGUCAAAACUACGUUAAUUCAAAGAAAAGCUUACAAACCAUGCAAAGAGAGCGUUCACCUGUAUACGCGUUACGCUUUGCAGUACUCGUUCGCACUGAAGCAAUUAGCCAGUUAAAUCUCGUUAACAUAACCAACCACAGAAUUAAAAUCACGUACCUUUAACGUACAUGCAGAUGCAUUGGUUCAGGAGGGAAAAAAAUACUAAAAAUGGAUACCGACCGACAUGAGUUAGAUUUCUCCUUUUUCUUCUUUUUUUUUUUCUCGAGAGACGCACGCAAUAUAAUGUGGAAUUUCACCAUUUUGUCGAAGCGAAAGUGCACAGAAGCCCUUCAAUCUGAAUUUCUACAGCUUGCCCAUCAGACGGCAGUUUGGUUAUGCCCCUUUCGUGAAAAAGAGAAAGGGAGAGAUAGUAGAUGGUACUCCAAUGUGCCAACUUGUAUUUUAGGCAACAGAUGGAACAAUGAAGCGUUGUCGAAUUCUGAGACUUUGAAUUUCAUUUUGCUAACACUUUCGAGAGGGGAACUCUCUUUGUCAGAGAAGUUUAAUAACUUCUGUAAAAGAGUUUCUAAAGUUUCAGAAUUCGGCGACCCUUCAUUGUAUUAUAUCUAUACAUAUAUGCAAAAGCUGUUUCAAGUCUGCAGUAGGUGAUGAAAAAGCAACACCACAUACACUGUGUCAUAUUGAAGGACGAAAGCUUCUACAGCCAACCGCACUUUCAUGCGUACGUUUAUUCCCACGAGAUAUCCGUUAAUAGACAGUUUUAGUUGGGCGUCCGCAACCACCCACGUACCCAGCGUGCGAGGUCAUGCGUACUUAAGGUAGGGACCUUAUGCGUACUUAGCGAAGCACGCGCGCAUGAAACGGCAAUAGUUGGCCGGACGCAGAAGUUGAGAAGGGGAUUGCUGACUUGCACGCGCAGGAGCCGGCAGUGUGCUACUCAGCGCCGCCAUAUGCCAGCUUCUGAAAUUGUGUAGCCAAUAUCAACCGUCACGAAGUCAAACCACAAGCCGGAGCCAGAGCUUCGGCACGGGCCAUAUCGAAAAAAUGCGCUCUCGUGGACACGCCGACAACGUCUCGCAAAGCCCGCAGAGCCCGCAGCGGACGCUACGCAGCUUUUGAAAAGCUGCGGGCCCACGCAAGAGACCGUGUGUGCUCUUGCGUACUGCGCAUGCGCAGUGUCGCCUUCGCGGGUUUCCUGCGUACGCAGAGCUGCUGUGGACGCCAAACUAAAACUGUCUAUUAUUUCACUAAGUCGAGGUCCAGAGCGCAUCUUCCACCUGUUCUGCAAUGUAGGGAAAUACGUUGAUCGACGGAAAAAUAGAACCGAUACUGCAGCCCAGAAGGGCUAUUGCAGGAGUGGGUGAAUACAAUAUGUGGAAAAUACAAAUCACAACACAAAAGAAGCAUAUCGAUAAUUCUCAUCGCUGGACGAACCUCACCCGGAAAAUGUGCUCCCUACCCAUGGCAGGAGCAAAGAAGGAAAGGGUUGCGCUUAGCUGACUGACUUGCAUGGGCGAGCUGUGUCACGAUGGAAGUAAUUAAACUUAAUUAAAAUUAUCUUGCAAAGGUCAGCAUAGCAGCACAGGACUACGCAACUUUGUUUUGCCCAUUAUUUUGUCCGCUCUUCUACCAGACGUCCCAGACCACAUUUGUGGUCAAUGCUGCUAAAGCAGUGCAUGCGUCAACGCACCGCAGCGACCACCUCGUUUACUGAGAAUGGCAUCAAACGUCUUUCAUUAUAUGCUUAACGCGCUAGGCAGCAACAAAAUUGCAAUGUCUGUGGCCAGCGGGGCGGCAGACCGAACAUGCAGCACGCGCUGGACAGACCAACACCGUAUUACAGCGUAGACGCAAUAGCUGAAGAUGAAAUUCUACAGUUCAUCGUUGAAAAAAGGCCAACAAAACAUUACAAGCGCGCCGCGACAACGGAACAGCAAUGACGAGUAAUGAACGCUAUACACACUUACUAAUAACUAUAGCAGA